UGUUUGUACAAUGGAAGCUUCUCUGGUGAUUUUAUUUCUCACAGUCCUUUCAUAUUCCUUCUGUGCCACUUGGUUGUCACAGUCCCCACAAGCUGUAACGGUGGUACCAGGAGACACAGUGACUAUAUCCUGCACUGUGGAAGGUGAUAAGAAUGAACUGAUGAAUAUGCAUUGGUACAGACAAACUGCUACUGGGGUGCAGUAUCUCCCAAAGGACUCUCAUAUCACAGCUAAUCAUUUUGUGUCUUCCCAGCACUCCUCCAUCAGCAAUCUCCACUUUUUCACCAUCACAAGCAUCAUGGACAUGGAUCAGGGUACAUAUUUUUGUGCUCUUUCACGUCCUGUGCGUGGCAGCCUUGUGGACUUUGUCCAAGGAGAGGGCUCAUCGGUCCGUGUGGAAGAACUUCGAUCAUCUGGUCUUUGA